rnacentral:miRNA from 1 species
AUAGAAUAGGUUAGUGAG